rnacentral:rRNA from 1 species
AUGAUGCAUGGGCGCAGCCUGAUGCAGCGACGCCGCGUGAGGGAUGAAGGCCUUCGGGUUGUAAACCUCUUUCAGUAGGGAAGAAGCGAAAGUGACGGUACCUGCAGAAGAAGCGCCGGCUAACUACGUGCCAGCAGCCGCGGUAAUACGUAGGGCGCAAGCGUUAUCCGGAAUUAUUGGGCGUAAAGAGCUCGUAGGCGGUUUGUCGCGUCUGCCGUGAAAGUCCGGGGCUUAACUCCGGAUCUGCGGUGGGUACGGGCAGACUUGAGUGAUGUAGGGGAGACUGGAAUUCCUGGUGUAGCGGUGAAAUGCGCAAAUAUCAGGAGGAACACCGAUGGCGAAGGCAGGUCUCUGGGCAUUAACUGACGCUGAGGAGCGAAAGCAUGGGGAGCGAACAGGAUUAGAUACCCUGGUAGUCCAUGCCGUAAACGUUGGGCACUAGGUGUGGGGGACAUUCCACGUUUUCCGCGCCGUAGCUAACGCAUUAAGUGCCCCGCCUGGGGAGUACGGCCGCAAGGCUAAAACUCAAUGAAAUUUGACGGA